rnacentral:hammerhead_ribozyme from 1 species
AUCCAGCUCACGAUUCCCACAUAGGAGGAACCGCGCGUCCUGGAU